ACUUAAAUAGUUUAUUUAAAAUAGUAAAUUGUGAUUUUACAGAAAUUUUUUAAUUUUAAGUA
rnacentral:tRNA from 1 species